CUGUGACAAGCAGUAGUGCCUCUCAUCUUUCUCAUGCAUUGGCCAUCCUUCCCAGUUUACGAGACGUCUGUUGCUUUCUUCAGAUGAGUCCAUCUUCUGAAGGUCAUGAUUUUCCUCCAUUGAGCUUACACCUUGGCUUUAUAGCUCGUACAUGCAAGAAAUAGAAGCAGAUUUGCAGGAGGUACCAGUAGUUACAUAAGUUCUUCCUAUUCUUUGAACGUAACCCAUCAAACAAUCAGAGCAGCAGCACAGUGCUCAAGAUGCUGUGACAGUCCUCUGGAGUUGUCUGCCUCGUUCUGCAAGCCAGCCUGUUGUCUGAAGCUCAGGACCUCGAUACAUGCCUUCUCAAAGCUGGACUUCCAGUGCAGCCAUCAUGGGAGCAGUAUUCAGCUAGAGCACGGGGAUCAGUAUGCUGUCAACAUCCACCUCAUCAUUGUAAAUGCACACAGCCCCAAAAAGAAAAUGAGCAAAUAUUUCCUACGCAGUUGAUGUUUUCUGCAUUCAUUGCUCAAAUGUAAAUGGUGCAGGAAUUCCGAAUUAAAGCUUAUGCUCUGUCUCAGGUACGUUGAGCUACUGGCCACCAGCAUGAAUGUGAAGAGGAGGGCGAUCCUUGGAAAUGCUGAGACACUGCUCAAAGAAAAACUUACGGUUUCAUCUGGAUGUGGCUUUUUUUCCCCUUUAUUUUAUUUAUUGGCUAAGUUUAACAUAUUAGGGAAAAGAGCUGAUUCCAUUUGGGGAUGUCUGAUCCUAAAGCUAAAUUCUGUCUUUCAAGUAUGAAAAAUGACAUUACUGCAGUGCUAGGAUUUGAUCACAGCAUAGUCAGAAACUCAUAAUGACCAUUCCCACAGCAGCCAUAACGCACCUGGGGAUACGUACAGAAUUUUUUAUAAAUACGCAUAGUGUUAACUUAGGGUCAAUCUUCACGAUAGCUCCAGGAAGUUGCUUUUGUUUUCUUUUACUGUAACAGAAAGCCUUGUCUGAGGGAUCCUGUAAAAAAAAGCUGCAGUCAUGCAGGAACCAAACUUUCCUGUGUCUUCAAGAGGCCAAAAGUUCGUGUUCUUAGUACUUUCUAAGCACAUUAACACAUGUUUAGGGAAAUGGGGAAAGAGAAGAUAGAUAGAAAGUGGAAUUGCCAUCUAUGUAGGAAUCACAUGUGUUUAAUUUGCAAGAGAGUCAAUCAAGAGUAACUAUAUUUGAUGUUAACAGUCGGUGUUAGGUUUAGAUCCCAACAUGUAGCAGUGCUUUUUCUAAGAUAUACUUUGUGACAGAAAAUCCUUACACAUAAACUUGCUUGAAGCACAAGGCCAUCCAUAUGUGCCCGUAUGGGAAUGCAUCAGGCUUCUUCUUGUAGGGAGGAUUCAAACUAUUUUCAUGUUCUUGCUUGUGUAAAUAACAGUAGUGAUACAUUACAGUAGAUGCUGAGAUUUGAACAUUCAAAAUAUUUUUCAUUUCUUAUGCUGCAAAUUUGGCAAAGGCAUUCUACUUCACAUGUAGUCAGCACUCCAAAUGGAAAACUGAAACUCAGAAGACCGAAAGGAAGCCAAACAUGUUUUGAAGCACUACAGGUCUCCAAAAAAGCAGACACAAAAUGCAUCCUAACUUGUAAUUUUGAUAAUAAUGAAUAUAACACUCUAAUAAUUCAGAAAAGAAUGGGCCAUCUACCAGGCUGAGAAGCUGUAUGAAAUGAUUAAAAGAAGAUGCAUUUGAUUCUUGAUUACGUUUAGUGGGUAUUGCUCAAGCCUGGGAAAACUUAUUUGGGAAGACAUUGGAGUUGGAAAAAAUCCUUCAGACUGAAAAGUAGGAAAAAAAAAAAGGCAACAAAAUGAUCUACUGUACUGUUGUAAAGUGCAGAGUGAUCUCACAGUAAAGUCCAAGGAUGGUGUCAAUGACGUAAAACUUUAUUG